ACCUGUUUUAGUUACAAGGAAACUCCUAUCUUGUGAGAGAAUUGAUAUCCUUUUCAAGAAAAAAUAAUUUAUGUCUUUCUCUGCGUACCACUUGGACUCCAUUUUACAUAUCUUAUUAUUGGUUGAAUAAAGACAAAAGGUGCUUUGUGCUUAGGUUCUACCAGUCACAGACAGUGGUCUUCCUGUUUCCAAAAUCAACAUACAUGGAAUAAUUAAAUGAUUAGUGUUUAUGAUAGGAACAUCCAAGAAGGGCUUAAGGGGGCCAACAAUAAAUAUGUCAUUUGGAAAGAACAGUGCCUGCUAUGAUUUGGAUGUGGAUCCCCCUGACUCUGCUGCAAGGGUCCUAUGCUGAGAAUAUGCUCUUCAAUAAGAUGAUACUAAGAAGUGGCAAACCUUUAAGAGACAGAGAAUUACUGUGUGCUGGUGGUGUGUCUUUAAAAGAAGAGAUACAAGUGUCUUUGCUCUUUCUUGUUUAGAAAUAUGGUUAGGUUGUCUCUAUAUGGGAACUCAAGAACUGUGGAUCAAUAGCUGUGGAGCCUCCAUGGGACUGGAUGAGGCUCUCUGCCAAGCUCUCAUCAGAGUAACACCAGCAGGUGGUGCAGCUCAGACAGAUGAUCUUAAUGAGCCUCCAUAAUGCUGUCUGGAAUUGUAGCCUCCAAAAGAUAUUUUGUCUACAUCUAUGUCUAUGCACUACAUGGGUAUCUGCUUUUCAUGGAGUCCAGAAGAGGACAUCUCUACCCUAGGACUGGAGUUACACACAAU